UGUUCUGCCACAAGACCUGUCUCUAUGCACUCUCCCAAACCCUGAGCGAGCUGCGUUGCCUGCUCAGGGAGACCAUGAUAUCUCACACAUUGCAGCAACCCCCUUCAACCAGAGGGAGGAAGAAUUGCAGAGUGGCAACCCCCACUGCUGCUACAAGAUGAGCUUUGUCUCCAGAUAUUUAGAAAUGCCAUACAGAAAUGAAGAAUCAAGGAUUUCAUCAAGCAUAAUGAUGAAUCUUUAUGGGGCCUGUCGUGGAAGAGAAUUUCAUCUUACUGUCAUGAGAAAAUUACUUCCAGCUCUUUCAGAUGUCAGAAUCCUGUCAUUUCUGCAGGUGUGGCCCAUUGUGACUCAGGAUAUGAGAUGAGGCUUUGGAUUUUUAUUGUCACUUUCUUUUCUUUGAAGUAUCUAUGUGCACACCUCCCCUCCCCGCUCUACCUCUGUAUGCACCUGUGUCACAGCGAGUAUUGUUACCUAAUUGCUUUGAUGCCAAAGAUGAGCUAUUUUACUCUCUUAGGUUCUACUUGUAGAGAAGAUAAUCCCACAACAAAACUUUUGCUAUCCA